rnacentral:rRNA from 1 species
GGAAUAUUGGACAAUGGGGGCAACCCUGAUCCAGCCAUGCCGCGUGUGUGAAGAAGGCCUUCGGGUUGUAAAGCACUUUUGUUGGGGAAGAAAAGCACUGGGUUAAUACCCUGGUGUCAUGACGGUACCCAAAGAAUAAGCACCGGCUACCUUCGUUCCAGCAUCACCGGUAAUACGAAGGGUGCAAGCGUUACUCGGAAUUACUGGGCGUAAAGCGUGCGUAGGCGGUUUGUUAAGUCUGUCGUGAAAGCCCCGGGCUCAACCUGGGAAUGGCGAUGGAUACUGGCGAGCUAGAGUACGGUAGAGGAGAGUGGAAUUCCCGGUGUAGCAGUGAAAUGCGCAGAGAUCGGGAGGAACAUCAGUUGCGAAGGCGGCUCUCUGGACCAGUACUGACGCUGAGGCACGAAAGCGUGGGGAGCAAAC